rnacentral:rRNA from 1 species
GCCAGACUCCUACGGGAGGCAGCAGUGGGGAAUAUUGCACAAGGGGGGGAACCCUGAUGCAGCGACGCCGCGUGGGUGAAGGAGUAUUUCGGUAUGUAAAGCCCUAUCAGCAGGGAAGAACAAUGACGGUACCUGACUAAGAAGCACCGGCUAAAUACGUGCCAGCAGCCGCGGUAAUACGUAUGGUGCAAGCGUUAUCCGGAUUUACUGGGUGUAAAGGGAGCGCAGGCGGCGCGUUAAGCCUGGUGUGAAAGCCCGCGGCCCAACCGCGGGACUGCUCUUGGAACUGCGUGGCUGGAGUGCAGGAGGGGCAGGCGGAAUUCCUGGUGUAGCGGUGAAAUGCGUAGAUAUCAGGAGGAACACCGGUGGCGAAGGCGGCCUGCUGGACUGCAACUGACGUUGAGGCCCGAAAGCGUGGGGAGCAAACAGGAUUAGAUACCCGCGUA